CGCCGAAGAAUCGAAAGUGACGGUAGGCGCAGAAGAAGCACCGGCUAACUACGUGCCAGCAGCCGCGGUAAUACGUAGGGUGCAAGCGUUGUCCGGAAUCAUUGGGCGUAAAGAGCUCGUAGGCGGUCUGUCGCGUCUGCUGUGAAAACCUGGGGCUUAACCCCGGGCCUGCAGUGGGUACGGGCAGACUAGAGUGCGGUAGGGGAGACUGGAAUUCCUGGUGUAGCGGUGAAAUGCGCAGAUAUCAGGAGGAACACCGGUGGCGAAGGCGGGUCUCUGGGCCGUAACUGACGCUGAGGAGCGAAAGCAUGGGUAGCGAACAGGAUUAUAUACCUUGGUACUCCAUGCCGUAAACGUUGGGCGCUAGGUGUGGGGCUCAUUCCACGAGUUCCGUGCCGCAGCAAACGCAUUAAGCGCCCCGCCUGGGGAGUACGGCCGCAAGGCUAAAACUCAAAGGAAUUGACGGGGCCCCGCACAAACGGCGGAGCAUGCGGAUUAAUUCCAUGCAACGCGAACAACCUUACGAAGGCUUGACAUGCACGGAAAUCUCCCAAAGAUGGGAGGUCCGCAAGGGUCCUGCACAGGUGGUGCAUGGUUGUCGUCAGCUCGUGUCAUGAGAU
rnacentral:rRNA from 1 species